rnacentral:rRNA from 1 species
GACGUAGGGCGCGAGCGUUGUCCGGAUUUAUUGGGCGUAAAGAGCUCGUAGGCGGCUUGUCGCGUCGUCCGUGAAAACCUGCAGCUUAACUGUGGGCGUGCGGUCGAUACGGGCAUCACUGGAGUUCGGCAGGGGAGACUGGAAUUCCUGGUGUAGCGGUGAAAUGCGCAGAUAUCAGGAGGAACACCGGUGGCGAAGGCGGGUCUCUGGGCCGAUACUGACGCUGAGGAGCGAAAGCGUGGGGAGCGAACAGG